UGACAACUUGUUACUUAUAGU
rnacentral:piRNA from 1 species